CGUUACUUGUUUUAUAAUUUUUAAUACGGACUAGUUAAGAACGGUGCGAUGCAGCAGAUAGGUACCAUUAUUAUAAUUAAACGUUAUGGCGUGUUGAUUAAUACAGACUUUAAUAUUAAAAUUUAUAUCAAAAAUAAUCUAUAAUACAUAGUUAAUAGAUAAUACAAACCCACUUAUCAUCUGUAGCUAUCAUUAAUUAUAUGUUUUAAUAUUUUUUAGGAAUAAUUGCCUAUAUACCUCCGAAAACUUCGAAAAUAUCACAUUUAUCCCUAUUUUUUUUUUCUUUUUAAUAUAUUCCUCAUAUAUUCCUCCAUUAUUUUAAAAUAUUCCUACAAUUACCAUCCAUUAAGUUAACUUCGAAAAUAUCACAUUUAUUCCUACUUUUUUUUUUCUUUCUAAUAUAUCCCUCAUAUGUUCCUCCAUUAACCUCUCAUAUGUUCCUCCAUUAUUUUAUAAUAUUUCUAUAAUUACCAUCCAUUAAGUUAACUUGGGGCAAACGUAAGCUAAAUAUCCUUCAGAGUUAAAAAAAUCAAAACACCUUUUUUUUUCUUAAUUUAAGAGCAAAUAAGAAAUAUUGGUGAUGAUAGAAAGGUAUCUUUAAAAACUUAAAAAUCAAAAUACUUUUUGUGCCCCUAACUUAAGAGUAAAUAAGAAAAGUCGUGAUGAUAGAAAGAUAUAUUUGAAAGGAAGAAAAUAGUAAUUUUAUAGAGAUAACGACUAUUGCUAACCGUUCACUAACAGAAUUUAACUUUAGGGGUAAAUUUGAAAUGAGUUGGAACGUAAAAAAGAUAUUUUCAAUAUUAACCUUCUAAGAAGGGUAAAUCAGAAAGUCGAAAACUUUUUAACGGUUUAUAAGCAAUUGUCCUAUUUUUUAAUAUUAUUUAUCUCAAUAUAGAAUAAUUAAAAAUUAAAUAAAAUAAAACUAAAGUAUAAUUCUUUUUAAUUAAAAUGAAUAAACCAAUUUAAAAUAAAUGAAAAGCUCAUUUUAAUAUUAAAAUAGAUAACUAAUAUUUUUCUAUUAUUAUC
rnacentral:lncRNA from 1 species